AGUUUGUGUUUUGUUUUGCUUUCGGCCCUAUUUUUGUUGUGAGAUUUCUACGCAUCGCAAGUGGCAAGUGGCAAGUAAUCACUGGCCAUCUCCGGUUUAGUACGUUUCAAACAGCCAGUUCUGCAGUUGCUGCCACGAAGAUGAUCCCUUCCGUACAAUUGCGAGAAAGACCCAUAUUCGAACGGGCAAUAAAAACAAUACGUUGUUUAAAUACUUUUCACCUGCAUAAAUAACACGGCCAUUCACAAAGACGACACGUUUUGGUACUUAAGCCUGCACGGCAACAAACAUUUACGCUACUUUCCGGCCUUUCCGGCUCACACAAAAAAAAGCUAUUUCGCUUGAUAUAUGUAUCACCUGUGGAGGGACCGACCGGAGUAAGUUCAUUAGUUGCGCGACCAACAUUUACUAUCGCUGAACUGCCAAGGCGGGAUGCACUUGAACGCGGUGAGUUAGAAAUGCAAAUGAAUGAACCGCUGCAUUGCUUUAAACUACCAUAGCGACUGUCGCUGAGUAUGAAACGGAAGCGGUAACUGAAGGCUUAUUCUGCAAAAUAGUUUUCACGUAUACAGAAAAAUAUCCACACACUAUCACCUUUGCUAGAAAUUAAAGAUCCAGAAAAUUUUCGAGAUGAUUAUAAAGAGGACACAUCAAACAUCGGUGGAUGUCGUUCAUGACGUGGAAUCUUAAUUUGAACUAGAAGAUUGCUGCUAAUAGUCGUAAACUAACUGGAAAGGAAAUUGUUAUUGUAUGAUAAUACGCUGACCGGGUCGGAUUUUAAGUUCCUGAUAGACCCGGUGAACUGAUUAAAAAUGUACGGAUAGAUGAUUCGCUUUUGCAGCAUAUUGAGGCUCUGGAAAAUCCGAUCGAAUGACGGCGAUGAAAAAUAUGUGUCGAAAGCUUUUGAUUGGCGUUGAUGAAAGAACAAUGAUUUAGAAAAUUGUCAAUUUCUCAAUAAGAAUGCCAAAAUAAACAUUUUUUCUUGAAGAA